rnacentral:rRNA from 1 species
UACGAAGGGGGCUAGCGUUGUUCGGAAUUACUGGGCGUAAAGGGCGCGUAGGCGGCGCUCCAAGUUAGGCGUGAAAGUCCUGGGCUCAACCUGGGAACUGCGCUUGAUACUGGAGUGCUUGAGGAUGGAAGAGGGUCGUGGAAUUCCCAGUGUAGAGGUGAAAUGCGCAGAUAUCGGGAAGAACACCCGUGGCGAAGGCGGCUCUCUGGGACGGUACUGACGCUGAGACGCGAAAGCGUGGGGAGCGAACAGG